rnacentral:rRNA from 1 species
GAUGAACGCUGGCGGCGUGCCUAAUACAUGCAAGUCGAGCGAAUAGACGAGGAGCUUGCUCCUCUGACGUUAGCGGCGGACGGGUGAGUAACACGUGGAUAACCUACCUAUAAGACUGGGAUAACUUCGGGAAACCGGAGCUAAUACCGGAUAAUAUAUUGAACCGCAUGGUUCAAUAGUGAAAGACGGUUUUGCUGUCACUUAUAGAUGGAUCCGCGCCGCAUUAGCUAGUUGGUAAGGUAACGGCUUACCAAGGCAACGAUGCGUAGCCGACCUGAGAGGGUGAUCGGCCACACUGGAACUGAGACACGGUCCAGACUCCUACGGGAGGCAGCAGUAGGGAAUCUUCCGCAAUGGGCGAAAGCCUGACGGAGCAACGCCGCGUGAGUGAUGAAGGUCUUCGGAUCGUAAAACUCUGUUAUUAGGGAAGAACAAAUGUGUAAGUAACUAUGCACGUCUUGACGGUACCUAAUCAGAAAGCCACGGCUAACUACGUG